CAUCUAAUGACAGGCUCUGCUCCUGCCCUAUCCCCUACCAGGGAUAGGCAACCUUCGGCACUCCAGAUGUUGUGGACAACAUCCCCCAUAAUGCUCUUACACCCAUAAUGCUGGCAAAGCAUCAUGGGAGGUGUAGUCCAAAACAUCUGGAGUGCCGAAGGUUGCCUGUGUCUUUCAAAAUACUUAAUCCCAUAGUAUUAGGCACAUCAAAAUCUUCAACUCCAG